rnacentral:rRNA from 1 species
GUGACGUAAGUUAAACGGCCGCGGUAUCCUGACCGUGCUAAGGUAGCAUAAUCAUUUGCCUUUUAAUUGGAGGCUAGUAUGAAUGGACACACGAGGGCUCUGCUGUCUCCUAAUUAUACUUAAAAAUUAGUUUUUAAGUGAAGAAACUUAAAUAUAGUAAAAAGACGAAAAGACCCUAUGGAGCUUUAUUAUGUUUAAUCUUAUAUUAUAUAGUAUAUGGUUUAAUGGUAAUUCAGUUGGGGCGACUAAGGAAAAUAAUAAAUCUUCCUUUUAAAAGAAGAAAAUGGUUCUUUAUAAUUGAUCCGCAGUAGCGAAUAAAGAUCUAGCUACCCUAGGGAUAACAGGCUUAUUCUUCUUAAGAGUCCAUAUCGACAGAAGAGAUUGGCACCUCGAUGUUGGCUUAAAGUAUCUUUAAGAUGUAGCAGUCUUAAUAGUGGGUUUGUUCAACCUUUAAAACUUUACGUGAUCUGAGUCAGACCGGA